AAAGUACUCCCUCCGUCCCAAAAUUCUUGUCUUAGAUUUGUCUAGAUACGGAUGUAUCAAGUCACAUUUUAGUAUUAGAUACAUCCGUAUCUAGAAAAAUCUAAGAAAAGAAAUUUGGGACAGAGGGAGUAGUUG
rfam:Triticum aestivum genome assembly, contig: Triticum_aestivum_CS42_TGACv1_scaffold_556107_7AL